rnacentral:rRNA from 1 species
UACGUAGGGUGCGAGCGUUUGUCCGGAAUUAUUGGGCGUAAAGGGCUCGUAGGCGGUUUGUUGCGUCGGGAGUGAAAACUCAGGGCUUAACCCUGAGCCUGCUUCCGAUACGGGCAGACUAGAGGUAUGCAGGGGAGAACGGAAUUCCGUGGUGUAGCGGUGAAAUGCGCAGAUAUCAGGAGGAACACCGGUGGCGAAGGCGGUUCUCUGGGCAUUACCUGACGCUGGAGGAGCGAAAGCGUGGGAGCGAACAGG